rnacentral:tRNA from 1 species
ACCCGUCUAGCUCAGUCGGUAGAGCGCUGGCCUUUUAAGCCAGUGGUCGUGGGGGGAUUUAUCGGAGCUACCGAGUGGUU